AGGUUAAGCUAGGAAGAGCACAGGGUGGAUGCCUUGGCACUAAGAGCCGAAGAAAGACGUGAUAAGCUGCGAAAAGCUGCGGGGAGGAGCAAAUAUCCAGAGAGCCGCAGAUAUCUGAAUGGGGAAACCCACGCGGGAAGAAUCCGCGUAUCCGUACGUAAAUCCAUAGCGUGCGGAGGGGAACCCGGUGAACUGAAACAUCUAAGUAGCCGGAGGAAGAGAAAACAAAAGUGAUUCCGUAAGUAGCGGCGAGCGAAAGCGGAGGAGCCCAAACCGGAGUGCGUGCACACCGGGGUUCGGACUGCAGAAGUGACAUGCAAAUACAGUGGAACGGUACUGGAAAGACCGGCGGGAGAGGGUGAAAGCCCCGUACACGAAGUAAGAGCAUGCACGGCAGGAUCCAGAGUACGGCGAGACACGAGAAACCUUGCCGGAAGAAGCGGGGACCACCCCGUAAGGCUAAAUACUCCUUAGUGACCGAUAGAGCAGAGUACUGUGAAGGAAAGGUGAAAAGGACCCCGGGAGGGGAGUGAAAGAGAACCUGAAACCUUGUGUUUACAAGCUGUGGAACCAUGAGCGAUUGUGGAACCGCGUACUUUUUGUAGAACGGUCCGGCGAGUUGUGCAAACCGGUAGGUUAAGGGCUUAAGGUCCGGAGCCGGAGGGAAACCGAGUCUUAAUAGGGCGAAAAUCGGUUUGUGCAGACCCGAAACCGGGUGAUCUACCCAUGUCCAGGCUGAAGUCUGCGUAAAAGCAGAUGGAGGGCCGAACGCACAUCCGUUGAAAAGGGUGGCGAUGAGGUGUGGGUAGGGGAGAAAUUCCAAUCGAACCCGGAGAUAGCUGGUUCUCCCCGAAAUAGCUUUAGGGCUAGCCCUUCAGGAGUCACAUGGAGGUAGAGCACUGAAUACCCGAGGGGGCGUCAAAGCUUACCAAAGGUUAUCAAACUCCGAAUGCCAUGGAGAUGCUCUGGAGGAGUCAGACCGCACGAGAUAAGUUGGGCGGUCAAAAGGGAAAGAGCCCAGACCCGCGGCUAAGGUCCCGGAGUGCGUGUUAAGUGGAAAAGGAUGUGGGGAUUCAAAGACAGCCAGGAUGUUGGCUCAGAAGCAGCCAUACAUUAAAAGAGUGCGUAAUAGCUCACUGGCCGAGAGUGCCUGCGCCGAAAAUGUCCGGGGCUAAAACACGCCACCGAAGCCCGGGGAUCAUGAAGAAUGAUCGGUAGGGGAGCAUUGUUAACGCGAAGAAGCAGGACUGAAAGGUGUUGUGGAGUGUUAAGAAGAGAGAAUGCCGGAAUGAGUAGCGAGAAAGAGGUGAGAAUCCUCUUGGCCGAAUAUCCGAGGUUUCCAGAGUAAAGCUGAUCUGCUCUGGGUAAGUCGGGGCCUAAGGCGAGGCAGAGAUGCGUAGCCGAUGGACAACAGGUUGAGAUUCCUGUACUGGAUGGCAGCAGAACUGUGGGGACGCAUGUGGAGAGCACGAGCCGGAAGAGGAAAAGCCGGUGCAAGCGGAGGAGGAGUAUGGUUGGAAAAACCGCCAUGCAAUCCAAAGACGUGACGCGGAGCGAAAAAGAGUAGCGAAGCGUGUGAGCCAUGUGCCAAGAAAAGCCGCUAUAGACUGCCAUGCACCCGUACCGUAAACCGACACAGGUGGAUGAGGAGAGAAUCCUAAGGCCGACGGAAGAAGCAUUGUUAAGGAACUCGGCAAAAUGACCCCGUAACUUCGGGAGAAGGGGUGCCCUUGAAAUAGAGGGCCGCAGAGAAUAGGCUCAAGCAACUGUUUAGCAAAAACACAGGUCUAUGCAAAACCGAAAGGUGAAGUAUAUGGGCUGACGCCUGCCCGGUGCUGGAAGGUUAAGAGGAGAGGUUAAAAGGAGAAAUUCUUUGAAGCUUUGAAUUUAAGCCCCAGUAAACGGCGGCCGUAACUAUAACGGUCCUAAGGUAGCGAAAUUCCUUGUCGGGUAAGUUCCGACCCGCACGAAAGGCGUAAUGAUUUGAGCACUGUCUCGACAAUGCAUCCGGUGAAAUUGAAGUACCAGUGAAGAUGCUGGUUACCCGCGCCAGGACGGAAAGACCCCAUGGAGCUUUACUCCAGCUUGAUACUGGGAUCCGGUGCUGUAUGUACAGGAUAGGUGGGAGGCGAAGAAGUGAGGACGCCAGUUUUCACAGAGCCGAUGUUGGGAUACCACCCUUACAGUACUGGGUUUCUAACCUGCCGCCGUAAACCGGCGGGGGGACAAUGUCUGGCGGGGAGUUUGACUGGGGCGGUCGCCUCCGAAAGGGUAUCGGAGGCGCUCAAAGGUUCCCUCAGAAUGGUUGGAAACCAUUCGAAGAGUGCAAAGGCAGAAGGGAGCUUGACUGUGACACCGACGGGUGGAGCAGGUACGAAAGUAGGACUUAGUGAUCCGGUGGUAUGAAAGUGGGAUUGCCAUCGCUCAACGGAUAAAAGCUACCCUGGGGAUAACAGGCUUAUCACUCCCAAGAGUUCACAUCGACGGAGUGGUUUGGCACCUCGAUGUCGGCUCAUCGCAUCCUGGGGCUGUAGCAGGUCCCAAGGGUUGGGCUGUUCGCCCAUUAAAGCGGUACGCGAGCUGGGUUCAGAACGUCGUGAGACAGUUCGGUCCCUAUCCGGCGCGGGCGCAGGAUAUCUGAGAGGAGCUGUCCUUAGUACGAGAGGACCGGGAUGGACGGACCACUGGUGGAUCUGUUGGCAUACCAGUGCCAUGGCAGAGUAGCCAAGUCCGGAAGGGAUAAACGCUGAAGGCAUCUAAGCGUGAAGCCCCCCUCAAGAUGAGAUAUCCCAGACGAAAGUCAGAAGACCCCUUGAAGACGACGAGGUAGAUAGGCCAUAGGUGGAAGUGCAGCAAUGUAUGGAGCAGAAUGGUACUAAUCGGUUGAGGGCUUAUCCUGA
rnacentral:rRNA from 2 species